GAUGAACGCUGACAGCAUGCUUAACACAUGCAAGUCGACCUGAAUUUGGGUUUUUAACUUAGGUUUGGGUGGCGGACGGGUGAGUAACGCGUAAAGAACUUGCCUCACAGCUAGGGACAACAUUUGGAAACGAAUGCUAAUACCUAAUAUUAUGAUAAUAGGGCAUCCUAUAAUUAUGAAAGCUAUAAGCGCUGUGGGAGAGCUUUGCGUCCCAUUAGCUAGUUGGAGAGGUAACGGCUCACCAAGGCGAUGAUGGGUAGCCGGCCUGAGAGGGUGAUCGGCCACAAGGGGACUGAGACACGGCCCUUACUCCUACGGGAGGCAGCAGUGGGGAAUAUUGGACAAUGGACCGAGAGUCUGAUCCAGCAAUUCUGUGUGCACGAUGAAGUUUUUCGGAAUGUAAAGUGCUUUCAGUUGGGAAGAAACAAAUGACGGUACCAACAGAAGAAGUGACGGCUAAAUACGUG
rnacentral:rRNA from 1 species